UAAACUGCGACACUUUGUACCUUUGCUGGAUGAGAAACACAAUGUAACGCAGCUUCCAUGGACCGAGUGGAGCCGACUCCUCGGCAUUAGUUCCGUUUGCUUGGUUUUUGUUUCCCCCCCGAUUUUUGGGAUCAUAAGACGUCAACUCCUACAUUGACGGACGCUUUUCAGCCCAGAUCAAGAACUGCACGACUUCACCCUGGAGUGGUUAUGCUUUUAUGGCGAUAUAUCAUCAUGUAAUGUUAUGGCUACCGAGACUGCGGAUUUCUAAAUAAAAAUUAUGUGAAAACAAAAGUUCUGUACUUGGUCUCCAGAAAGAAGCAACGGCGGCUGAGCUGGAGGUGCCCGUGCAAG